AGAUUUGGAGUAUGAGGAGCGCGAUGAGAGCAUCAGAGAUGAAUAGAUUUACCAGAACCCACAUGACCUCUCCCAUGUUUUUCCAAAGCAUGGGCACAGCCCCUUACUUUAAGGUGACUGUGUUUGAGCGGGAGCAUUUCCGGGGAAAGUGUAUAGAGUUCACCUCCGAGUGCUGCAACAUCCACAACUGCGGCCUGGACAACAUUCGCUCCAUCAGAGUGGAGAGUGGAGC